ACCAGAGAUGAAACAGGAAUCUUUCUGACACAAACCCAAUACAUAGAAGAUCUGCUUAGAAAAACAAGCAUGGAGAACUCAAAAUCAUGUUCAACACCAACGGCUCUCAAUGUUGCUCAAGCAACUCGAGAACGUGAACCUUUCAAAAGUCCUACAACCUACAGAAGAAUUAUAGGUGCACUGCAAUACAUAACGCAUACCAGACCUGACCUUGCCUACAUUAUAAACAAGCUGAUCCAGUUCCUAAAGCAACCAAUAAUAAAGCAUAUGCAAGCAGUAAAGAGGAUACUGAGAUAUCUAGAAGGCACAAAGAAUUUUGGCCUACAUAUUCAACCAUGUAGUAGUUAUACACUCACUGGUUAUUCUGAUGCAGAUUGGGCAUGUAAUAGAGAUGACAGAAAAUUAACUGCUCACUAUUGUGUUUAUUUUACUUAAAAAAGCAUAGUGUUAUUCAAGAUCAAGCACGGAAUCUGAGUACAGGGCAUUGGCACAUAUGCCAUGUGAGAUUGUUUGGUUAGAGUCUCUACUCAAAGAGUUGUUCAUUCCCCUUUCAGAAGUCCCUAUAACUUGGUGUGAUAACUUGAGUGCAAGUCAAUUGGCAAAUAAUUCAGUCUUUCAUGCGAGGAUCAAACGCAUAGAAGUAGACAUUCAUUUAAUCUGAGAUAAGGUCCUUGAUAGAAAAAUUGAGGUGAGAUAUGUACCAUCACAAGAUCAAAUAACAAAUUGUCUUACCAAAGCUCAAGGAGGAAUACAAUUCUACAACUCAAGAAACAAACUUGGAGUAGUUGAGAGAACUCUACGACUACCAAGUUUGAAGGGGGAUGUCAAGGAACAUGUAACAAACAGCCAACAGGAACACCAUUAGCAGUGCAUCUACAAUUUGUACUGCACAGCCUGCAACCUGUACUGCACAAUAAGAAUUUGUUGUAACAAACUUCGUCCUUCCUGGAAAGCUGUAAAUCACUCAUUUGACCACUUGUACAGUUUUGAUUCACUACAAAAUUCUAUAAAUUGAAUUCCUCUCAUCUUAGCACAUUAAGCUAAGAAUUGUCUAGCAUAUUUCUUUCAUUUUUCUUUCUCCCUGCAUUUCAACCACCUCCCGUCAAUAUCUUCUUCAACUUUCCCCUUAGUCUUCUCUCUCCAUCCCCUACAUCAUCACUCACCGCUCGACGUUACAUUAUCUACCAGUUGUUUCCCAAACUCAAUCGCAACAUUGAACUGUGCGAAUUUACGGUGCCAAGAAUCUUGUUUUUGGCAUGUCGUAUGGUUGACCAUGGAUGCACGAGGUUCCGCCUUUCGGUUGACGCAGAAGUGGUGUGGUUUGAUAUAAUCCGCGACACCGCUAAGAGACAUAUGAUUGAGGAGCUUCGUGAAAAGGUUUACGGGUUAUUGGAUAGCUUGGAAGAUGAAGAUGAAGAUGAAGAUGAAGAUGAAACGGGGAACAGUGCGAUCUGUCUGUAAGAGAUGAAGUUGGGAGGGAAGAAGGUAACUGAGAUGGCUUGCAGACAGUGUUUCCAUGAAGGAUGUGUAAUGCAGUGGUUGAAAAACAAGAACACUUGUCCUCAUUGUAGACGAGUUGUGGAUGUUGCAUCUGAGUAGUUAAUUUUUCUAAAUUUAUAAAUUGAUAAUUGUUUCUUUUUCUUUUAGGUGAUUUAAACCCUUAAUUUCUUAGGAGGCUUUUUAAGUGUGUCCAGAUUAUUUAUUCAUGAAAAAUUUGUUCUUUUGUAAAAUAUAUAUAUAUAUAUAUAU
rnacentral:lncRNA from 1 species